UUUUAUCGAAAUAUCCAGACGUGUCGAGUCGCAGACUACGUUUUUAAUAUAACAAUAAUUAGCUUAAUUCUAGUUAAAGCAACAUAUACUUGUAACAAAAUAGAUACAAUAUCCAAUUUACCUGAAAACUGGCCAUGUGAAUGGAACGACGGAAAAAUUGAAUUCGCGUUUAAUUUUUUUUUAUUAAGUCCAAAACGUUUAGUCAGUGUCGUCCGAAGAGGCAUCGAGUACAUUGAAGCACGUUCCUGUUUGAUAUUCAAAGAAAAGAAUCCAAUCGAGUUAGCUAAAGGAACCAAUCUGACGUAUCUAUUCUUUACAUUCUCUGACGUUUUAGAAAACUGCUGCUUACCGUUCGCGUACUUUGAUAGACGACGGACGGUAUUGAUUACACCUCUAUGCACUCUACCAGUGGAAGUGGCUCACGUGAUACUACAUGCGAUGGGUUUGAAGCAUAAGAAACACGAAGCAUUUUCAAAACAUCAAACAAGAAAUCUAUUAUUUUCUACUAAUUGUACUUCAUUGAGUCAGAAAAUGCGUAUUUCAGAUAUCAAAUAAAUAAGUUAAAUUGCAA